rnacentral:snRNA from 1 species
UGUGCUCACUUUGGCAACAAUAUAUAAAAAUUGGAACAAUACAGAGAAGAUUGGCGUGGCCCCUGGGCAAGGAUGAAAUGAAAAUUCACAAAGUGUUUCAUAUUUUU